rnacentral:tRNA from 1 species
GCCCCAGUAGCUUAAUCAAAGCAUUGGCCUUGUAAACCAAAGAAUGUAGAUUAAACCCUACCUGAGGCU